AACCAAGGCAGGGAAGUAGGCAGGAGUCAGGAAGUUAGAUCCAAGUCACACCCAGGACCAGCCUAUUCGGAGUUCUAUUGCUACCACUUCUACAACCCCAGAAUACAUAAGCAGAGUGAAUGCUGCACAGUCCAGCCUGCAGUAUAAGCCUCACUGAACUCCAGCUUCUGAAGUAGUAGUGGGGACCAGAAUGUGCUCCCGUCUGUGCAGGAAGCAGAAAGCGAUUGGAGGGCAGAGAAGAUCUAGCUUAGUGGUGCUGCAGUCUGCCUCAGAAGUGCAAGGUCCCAAGUUCAAGCCCUAGUACCCAC